AAUAAAAAACAGCAAGAAAACCUGUCCCGACUAAAUUUCAAGGUCGCGUUCCAGUCGGUUGCGACGGUGGUUUAGGAUUUCAAUUGCGAGAGGAUGACGAACCUACACUUUUCUGCAAUUCAGUCUGAUUGGAUCUCCUCGAUCGUCGUCGGUGGUUCACUUCUUCUCGAAGAAGUAGAACGCGUUGAUGGCGACAUCGCGGGGUUGUCGGAUGAAUGGAGAGUCUGAGGCAUAGAUCAGCCUCGUCCUUGGAUUCGGAUUUUUCUUUCGAGGUUUAGGGUUCGAUCGCAUGCGGAUUGAAGAUGAACGAAUGACAGAACUAGGAAAACUUGCAAGGUGAAGUCAUGAAAGAUUUUAUGCUAGGUAGGUGUUGUUGGUGAAGCUGGAGAUGAUUACGCAAUCUAAUUGUCCAGUUCACGAGGUAGCUGCUGUUGUUGCUGCUGCUGCUGAGAAUACGUCAUUCUAGAGUGAGUCGAUGUUACGAUGCUUUGCUAGGUUUUAUUUGGUUUUUGGGUGACUACGACUAAGACAUUAACUAUUUGACCAUAUUCAUGAAUUGACCCCGAGGUCUUUUGUCAAUUUAUGCGAAAAUAUUGUCAAUUUUGCCAUUGAGGACAACUUUGGGCUAUCGUUGUAUGGUUCAUAAAGUUAUUUUCAGCCCGAAAUAGAGGAAAGCUGAAUGAAGUUCGGAUU